UACUAUGUUACGACUUAUCUCAUCUUAAUAACGAGAGUGACGGGCGAUGUGUACACAUUUUAGAGCUAAAAUCAUAAAAAUAAUUCUUAUUAUUAAUUACUAUUAAAUCCUCCUUCAUAAAAUAUUUACAAAAAUUAAUCCGUUUAUAUUAUAAAUAUUGUAAUCCAUCUUCACUUAAUUAUUAACUGCACCUUGACCUGAAAUUUAAUUAAAUAAAAUUUAAAGAAAAUUUUACUCUAAAAAGAUAUUCAAUAAACAGCGAUAUACAUAUUAAAUAAAAUUAAGUAAGGUCCAACGUGGAUCAUCGAUAACGAGACAGAUUCCUCUAACUAGACUAAAAUACCGCCAAAUUCUUUAAGUUUCAAGAUCCUAUCUAAUACUACUCAAGUUUUAAUAAUUUACAUUCAAAAUAAUAGGGUAUCUAAUCCUAGUUU
rnacentral:rRNA from 1 species